ACUUACCAAGCUUGUCCAGGUCCCUUAGGAUGGUAUCCCUUACUUUUGUUGUAUCAACUGCACCACUCAGCUUGGUGUAAUCUACAAAUAAAGUUUUUAAAAGUUGUCUAAGAGAAUCAAGCUUUUCAAAAGGCAUUUUGAUGUUUUGGGGGUGAAGUGACUGUGGCAGCCAAAUAAUUUUCACUAUCUGUACCUGAAUGAUUGAUAUGGACAGUCAUGGAAAACACCUACCUCAGUGAAUUUUUAUCAGAAAAUUAAUUAUUGGGGAAAAAAACCACCAGUUUAUUUCCCAUUUUCGUUAUAUAAAAAGCCAGAUUCCUAUGUGUUCAUUAUGCUCACUUGUUCUGCUUCAGAGGCUAGAGACUUGUCAUCUUAGCAGUCCAGAUGGAAGGCUCGUCUUGAAGGAUUCUGAGCACGUCUGAUACAGCUGAAAUAAGGCAUCUACUUUGAUCAAGUGAACACCAUUUGAAAGAUCACACAACAGAUAGGAGAAAAUUAUGCAGAAUAACUGGAAAUAAUUGACAGGUAGAUUCAUUUUGCUCCAUACGUGUUUAUACUUUCACUUUUAUGAUCAUAAUAAACUUCCUGGGUUGUCUAGUUGUUCCCUGCUG
rnacentral:lncRNA from 1 species